CACACCUCCACCUACUGUUUCGUCCCUGUGACACCCACUCGUACUUGUACGUGGGCCAUGGUACGUGCUUAUGAACGCAACAUCUGCAGGAAAGGUGUGAACGUAUCCAAAAACAGUUCGCAC